CUCGAUCUGGAUGUCUGGUGAAGGUGCAAGAUGUCAGGUGUAGAUUCGAUGCGGUUGACCGGUGGUGUGUGUGUCUCAUGCACCAGUAGAAGGCAAUGUCUGACAGUGCGUGCGACUCACGCUCUAAAAAAAGUGGUCACCAUAGUAGAGCUACUGGUCACCAAAGUAAAGCUGCAGACCGUCAGUGAGAAGAUAACUCCACUUGGGUGGGUGGUGAGAGUAGAUCUUGGUAGGUGAGUACCAACUCAGUCUAUUUUGCUAUUUUAGGAUUUGAAAAAAAUAUUAUGAAAUUAUGACCCUAAAAUAGCCUUAUCUG
rnacentral:lncRNA from 1 species